GACGAACGCUGGCGGCGUGCUUAACACAUGCAAGUCGAACGGAAAGGCCCUGCUUUUGUGGGGUGCUCGAGUGGCGAACGGGUGAGUAACACGUGAGUAACCUGCCCUUGACUUUGGGAUAACUUCAGGAAACUGGGGCUAAUACCGGAUAGGAGCUCCUGCUGCAUGGUGGGGGUUGGAAAGUUUCGGCGGUUGUGGAUGGACUCGCGGCUUAUCCGCUUGUUGGUGGGGUAGUGGCUUACCAAGGCUUUGACGGGUAGCCGGCCUGAGAGGGUGACCGGCGACAUUGGGACUGAGAUACGGCCCAGAAUCCUACGGGAGGCAGAAGUGGGGAAUAUUGCACAAUGGGCGGAAGCCUGAUGCAGCAACGCCGCGUGCGGGAUGACGGCCUUCGGGUUGUAAACCGAUUUCGCCUGUGACGAAGCGUGAGUGACGGUAAUGGGUAAAGAAGCACCGGCUAACUACGUG
rnacentral:rRNA from 1 species